AGUGUGAUCCAAGCCAAUAUAAGGUUCUUUUGGGUGUCAUAAAUGAACAUAAUCACUGGACUAUUGCUGCCAUUUAUCCAUCUAAAAAGAAAACAUUGUUUUUGGAUCCCCUGGGAGAGUCCCAAAAAAAAGUAAACAAGUGCCUGGAAACCACAAGAGCCUUUAUGAGGAAUAGAGGAUGCAAAGUUUCAAGGUGGACGUGUGACACUGUUCCUCACCCAAUGCAACGUGAUGGCACAUCUUGUGGUGUUUUUGUAUGCAAGUUUGCAGAACAAAUCCUGAUAGAACAGCCUAUCAGCUUCUCAAAUGCAGAAAAGGCAGUUAACCUCUUUAGGAAAAAAAUUGCAGUGACCUUAAUACAGGAAUCAGAAGAUUUGAGUGAUCUUUGUCGAUUCUGUGGGGAAGACAUCAACCUAAGUGAUCCAGGGCUGACACCUGCAUGGAUUGCCUGUGAUGGAUGUGACAGAUGGUACCACCAGUCAUGUGUUGGCAACCCACCAGUAGAUGAAGAUUUUUACUGUCCUGCAUGCACUGAAGAUUAGACCAAGUAACUGCUUUAUCCUGGUCAUGGCCGUGGUGGAUUCAGAACUGUUCCUGGGGAAAUUGGACGUACGGCAGGAGUGCACUGUGGAUGGGAUGCUAGUCAUUCCCAGGGCACCAUCCACAAAUAAAUUUGCACAUUUCAGAUUUUAUUUAAUUUAGAUUUUAAAGAAUUAUUUUUAUUGAGUUAUAAAUAUGUUAUUUUUUCAAGUAUUUCAGUUUUACUUUGCAGUGAG